CCUACGGGAGGCUGCAGUGGGGAAUAUUGGACAAUGGGGGCAACCCUGAUCCAGCCAUGCCGCGUGUGUGAAGAAGGCCCUCGGGUUGUAAAGCACUUUCAGUGAGGAAGAACGCCUGGUGGUUAAUACCCAUCAGGAAAGACAUCACUCACAGAAGAAGCACCGGCUAACUCCGUGCCAGCAGCCGCGGUAAUACGGAGGGUGCGAGCGUUAAUCGGAAUUACUGGGCGUAAAGCGCGCAUAGGUGGCUUGAUAAGCCGGUUGUGAAAGCCCCGGGCUCAACCUGGGAACGGCAUCCGGAACUGUCAAGCUAGAGUGCAGGAGAGGAAGGUAGAAUUCCCGGUGUAGCGGUGAAAUGCGUAGAGAUCGGGAGGAAUACCAGUGGCGAAGGCGGCCUUCUGGACUGACACUGACACUGAGGUGCGAAAGCGUGGGUAGCAAACAGGAUUAGAUACCCCUGUAGUC
rnacentral:rRNA from 1 species